GGCGAUGUAGCUCAGCUGGUUAGAGCGCACGACUCAUAAUCGUGAGGUCGACGGUUCGAGCCCGUCCAUCGCUACCA
rnacentral:tRNA from 2 species